UACUUUUGCAUCGUAAUUGGUUCUGCCUGUCUGUUCAGACAAGCGGAUUAAAAGGGAAUCGGGUGAAAAUCCCGGACAGUCCCGCUGCUGUGAAGCUUCAAUAAUCUUCCGGUAAAGGCUAUUACCACUGAUGCGUUAUAUCUGAAAAACGUAUUGGGAAGGUUCCGGAAGAGAAGUCAGUCAGAAGACCUGCCAAGAGUUUAUGUUAUCCG
rnacentral:ncRNA from 20 species